CCGAUAACCUUUUUCGAGAAGCUGCUAGUGCGUAAUGCGUUUCAGUUGUGCCUACAUAGCGGGGGUGCAUGUAAAUUUACCCAUGCAAGUUUUAAAAUUUAAACUACGAAUUUUAUAUGGAUGAGGAGAUUGUUACAAUUUUAAAUCUGAAAUUACGUCAUAUCCACAUUAGUAUACGGAGAGCUGUAUUUUGGAUGCUAAAAUUUCCUUAAGCCCCGUUUACACACAAAUAGCUUAUGAUAAUAAUACCUAAUAAUAACCAUUUAAUGUCCUACAGAAAUACAUCCCAAUUACAGGACAUAUACGCGUUAAUUGCCUG